UAUCUGUUUUUAUCAGGUUAAUAUCUGAUAUACCCUCUAUCCAAGGACAAUAUAGUAAAUGGAUUUUUGAAGCUGGGAGUUGGAGUAGGAGCUUGCUCCAUCCAUUCCACCUAUCAACCUGGUAUUGCAGUGCUUCCAGAGACAGUGC
rnacentral:snRNA from 1 species